rnacentral:rRNA from 1 species
GAAUUCACUAGUGAUUCAGGCCUAACACAUGCAAGUCGAGCGGUAGAGAGAAGCUUGCUUCUCUUGAGAGCGGCGGACGGGUGAGUAAUGCCUAGGAAUCUGCCUGGUAGUGGGGGAUAACGUCCGGAAACGGACGCUAAUACCGCAUACGUCCUACGGGAGAAAGCAGGGGACCUUCGGGCCUUGCGCUAUCAGAUGAGCCUAGGUCGGAUUAGCUAGUUGGUGGGGUAAUGGCUCACCAAGGCGACGAUCCGUAACUGGUCUGAGAGGAUGAUCAGUCACACUGGAACUGAGACACGGUCCAGACUCCUACGGGAGGCAGCAGUGGGGAAUAUUGGACAAUGGGCGAAAGCCUGAUCCAGCAAGGCCGCGUGUGUGAAGAAGGUCUUCGGAUGUAAAUCAAGAGAGUUGGGAGGAAGGGCAGUAAAUUA